GAGGCUGAGGCUCAGUGGCAGAGCGCUUGCCUGGCAUGCAUGAGGCACUGGGUUCAAUUCUCAGCAUCA
rnacentral:tRNA from 1 species